GUAGUUUGCCUUUUGGUGCAGUCAUGUAAUCUUUUCAGCUUCUUCUAAAAGAAAGCAAAAACAAUAGUAUACCCCUGUUUUGUCAUCACAUUUUCACAUAGAAAACAGCUAGCAUUGGGGUUUAAGUUUAAAUUCCAGCCUUAUAAAUUCCCCAUGCUUGGGUUUCCUUGGCGUACUGAAGUUUUCCUCCCAGACUGUAUGUUUUGCUGGGGUAGGACAGAUGGAAUAUGUUGGUACUAUCUAAAUAAAGGAUAAUACAGUAGAAGCCCCAAUUCUAUUGGUCGGGGGGGUGUCAGGCAGGGGAGCAAGCAGAAGGGACAAGAAGUGGAGGCCAAGCCUGUAGGGUAGCAGGUUAGAUAAUACAACCUUGAGCACAGGGAUUAUAAGAAGUAUUUCUAAGAGCAAUUAAGGAGGUUAAGGAUAUGUGAAUGGCUAACAAUUACAGAGGUCAUUUGGUAUCAGGAACCAUUAUUUGACAUUGCAUUAUACACCUGUAGAAACAAAGCAAGGUUUAAUUAUAACUGUUGGUGCUGCUUUAAUUAAAAUCUUAAAAACCCCAUAAUUAUUUUUACUGAUCAUUUGUUUACUAUAUGUUUAGAGUAUAUAAAGAACUUUCUGUUUUGAGGGUGGGGUGGCAUACAGUAACUACAUUACACUGUUAUGUAAUGAAAUCAGAAUAUUACCAAAAUAAUGUAUAUAUAGGUAGAAUCUGAUUUUUAACAUUAUGGGAUGUUAAUGUGGCAGUUGUGCAUAGUCACAGUUACAGGGGAAGAGAAAAAAAGUAGGAUAAAAUGUGGGAGAGAUCCUCAGAGAUAAGGCAAAGAACAAUCUUUAAGAGGAAUUGGGAGAAAUUAGGGAAUAAGUAAGAAGUAGAAAAGGAAAGUGAGUGACAGCCCAGAAGAGGAGGAGCACUAAUGCAAUGCAGGAAAUUCCCUAAGCAAGUUAUGACUGCACGUUGUUUCACACAAGCACACGGCUCUGUAGCAUCAAGCAUUCGGUACUACUUCAAGUAGAUGCCAGAUUUUUUUUCACCAGAAGAUUAUCAUCCUACCCAAGCCUAGAUAUCUGUCUGUAUAAUAUGACAACAGAUGUGUUGGGAUAUACACCGGUGUCCGCUGUGAAGGAAUUUUACUGUCUAGUGAGAAAACUCAGCCCCAAAGUGAUUCAUU